GCUUGACUUCCUGAACUCGUUAGGAGCUCGCCUUUCAUCUUAUAUUCAUAUUGUCCGUCUAUAACAAAGUGGUUUUUUUACAUUUAAAAUCUAUACAUUAUUUGAGAUUCAUCAAUAUAAAUGGAUUUCUGAAUGUAAGUGAUGAAAUCACCAUCGCUUGCUGCGCUACGAUGUAAGAUUACAGGGAUUUACGAGGAGGCUCCAAGAUGGCAGCUUGAACGCACGUUUCCUACCGAGCUCUGCAUACCAACUUUUGAAAGAUAAUGAAAAGUGUAUUUUUUUUUGAACUACCAAACUAAUAAUUUGCUUGCUAAAAACAUCAGGUUAUUGAUGAUUUAAGAUUUAUAUUUUCCAAAAUGUCACAGUGCGCUGACAGAAAGAGAAAUGUUAUUGCUACCUCCUCAGCUAGUAAUGCUCAGGCAUCAUCCAAUGUCGUUACACAGGAAGCAAAACGCUUUGAUUGACAAACUGCCACAACUAUACCGCUCUGACAGACUCUAUGACACUUACCGGGUGAGACGAGGAUUUUCCUUCUUUGCCUAUAACCCCAAGCAAACCUCCAGCUUCCAAGAAAGGCAUGUGUUGAACUGGGCCCAGAUGUCGCCGCCAAUAAUGAUGUUAUCGCCACUCUUUCCAGGCUCAUCAAUGCAAGGUCCGAAGCCAUAGAGAAAAUGGUUGGCGACAACGCAAUGAAAAUCGAGGUCUUAAAAAUAAAAAAUGUUCACUUUGCAUGCAUGGAAAUCAAGGAUGUUAAGGUCACCCACGUUGAAAAGCGUGUCGAAAAGGAGGUGGGAAAGAUGGACUUGUGCCAAAGAAGAAUCGCGAAACUCGAAAGCUACUCCAGACGGUGGAAUCGGAGACUGUAUGGAGUUCCCGAAGCAGAUGGGGGGGAAACGUGCGGCAAGAGACCGUCAAAGUCUGCCAAGCUAUCCUACCUGUGGAGAAGGCUAAACUAACAGAUGUUAUCCACACUGUGCCUCGGGCACGACAAGGCAGGGUGACUCCAAGCCCAGAGGUGUCAUUCUCCAGUUCACAUCACGGAUCUACAGGGAUACCACUUGGAAAGCAACCAAGAAAUCUACAUUCCUACGCGAUAACAAUCUGCGGUUUGCUGAAGACCUCUCGAAAGCAGACAGAGAAAAGGAGAGAGAGAAACUGUGGCCAGCUGUGGAUAAAGCACGAAAAGAAGGGAAAGCGGCUUACUUCAUCGGAGGGCGCGCUUUCAUCAACGGCUACGAAAUCAACCUUCCUCCUUGAGAACUGUCAUGGACUGAUGCCUGGUGGUCAACAUACCUAGAUAUCUACCUCUGAUGUGAUCAGAUCUCACUCCCGGCUCUAAGUUGUCUUGAAAGCACCAUAAAUCCAGAGAAUGCCAUGACUUGGAUGACAAAAUUUGCCCACGAAGGACCGCUGCUCCACCUUCCUGUUUAAGUGAGCACAUCACAACAAGUCUUUCUAGUUGCUGUUUUCUAGUCUUCCCGGUUCUGACCAUUCUGCCUACCCUGACCCUGAGCCUGCAUGCCGUUCUGUACCUCUUUGACUCUGCCCUGGAUUACUGACCUCUGCCUGCCCUCAAUCUGCCCUGGAUUACUGACCUCUGCCUGCCCUCAAUCUGCCCUGCCCCCUUGUAUAAUACAUAUUAUGGGAACUGUACUAUCCAACUCUUGUGUCUGCAUCUGGGUCAUAUCCUGAGUCGUGAUAAAUCAUAGAAUAUUUUAAGAGUUUUCAUUGUCUGCUUUUAUAUGCCCCCUUUAUUUAUCCUACGGUUAUGACUUGGUGUACAGGGAGAACAAUGUAAGAAUGGCCCAUGUUCUGAAUUCUGUCACUGUACAUUUCAAAAGUACUCAACAAAUACAGAAUCAAGGACAGAAUCAUUGAUCUAAAUGUCAAAAUGUAUGUCAAAUUAAAAUGUUCUGAAAAGCUGUCCCAAUCCAGGACAUCAAUGAUAACUUCAGACUGGUGAGAUGGAUCUUUCAUGUAGAAUAUAGAAUAUAGUUUCAGGUAUAAACAUUCUAUCUACAACAUAUGUUUCACCCACAGAAUAAACUCCCUGGAACAUUCACUGCGUUGCCAUGACAUUCACUACCAAGAACAUGCAUCGCAGAACCCAGGACUCCAUCCCAAAUGGCACUUAUAAAGUGCACUUUUGGCCCUGGUCAAAAG
rnacentral:lncRNA from 1 species